GCAGCUCUGCACAAGGGCAGCUGGAAUCUGGGAACCUUACCUGCAGCACCAAUACCUAAGAGAAAUCGCGCUUCCCUGACACUAACACGCCAUGCCAUCCCCACGCACCCUGCCAAAGUCCUGUAACCAUCUACUUCUUCCAUCUGCCUAAGAGAAACUGUAAACGGGAUUUCCCCCCCACGAUUGAAUGGAAGCUCUGUACUGUACCGACUUCUGGAUUUGCCCUGGGUUGAGUUUAGGGAAUGUCUGGAAAGAAAAAAAGGGAGGAAAAAAGGAGGGGGGCAGCUCAAGCCUUGUCCAAGUUAGUCAGAAGGCGGUGUUAGGCAGGAAAGCGCCUACGGGAAAAACAGCUGGGAUGCAGACGGGCUAUGGAAAUCUCAGUUCUAGGAACCGUGUCCUUUCGUCCCGGAGUCAAUUCAGCCCGCUCCAGAGCAUCGGGGAAACUAGACUGUUCCGUGGAUGAACUGCGAGGAUGCCGGCGGUCAGGCUUGGCCGAGCUUUGUUUACGUGCCUAAGUCGCCACCUUGAGGUCGAGGGGAAGACUGCGCCCAGCUAGGGGCUGUAGAGACGAACCCAGCUGACACUGGCCCAGCAGCCUUGGCGACCUCCCGGGACCGCCUGAAAGAGAAGCAAAGGGAGGGCGCCCUGCGGGCGGGCGGGCCACGCUAGGCGCCGUCUGCCCUCAGAGACUCGGGCUGACAGGAGUGAGAGCUAAAACUUCCAACUAGCUGAAACCAAUAGCCGGGAAUCGAGCGAAGGCGAACUCUCCCAGCAAAGUAUAAAGCUUCGGGCCAAAGAGUCUGCAGCUCCAAGUCAGGGGCUGCGGCUCCGAAACUCCAAACACUAACUCCCAGGGCAGUGGCAGAGGGUGGGGGCAGCUUCGAAGAGGCAUACCAACUGCUCCGGUCCUGGCCGAAGACCGAGCUCCCUUCUGCGGUGACCUCGGCUCAGAGCUGACUCCGUACUCCCUGGGACUCAUCUCCCGCUUCCUCUCCACCUUCGGAACAGUAGACAAAGGGACUCAGGGACGCGGCCAGACCCAAGGUCACAAACGGAGGUCUCCGAGACGAGAAUUGCGUGCAAGAGAAGGACGUUCAGGCAGCCCGGCCGCCUGCUGCGAGAGCUGAACAUUUCCCAGCUCUAUAGUCGCCCAUUUCUCAGGAAAUCAGUCCUUCUGAGUGUCUAACAAUGGAUUAGAUCUGUGUGUUGGCUGUGACUCUGUUGGGCUCUACUGGACUUGGCUGGGCUCAGCUUCAGACUUGAGGUCAUGUUCAGAUGUUCUCCAAGUACCUUUUCAUUCUGGGUUCCAGGCUGAAUUAACAGCCUCACCUGGGACAAGGUGUUUUUAUGACAGAGAGAAAAAGCACAAGAGUUCAAGACAAAUCACACAAACAUAUUUAAAGCCUCUGCUCAGAUGUGGCAUUGGAUACAUCCCCAUAAACUCUACUGGCAAAACAAAGACACACAGACUUGUGGCAAAGCUCUAAGUCAAUGGCGAAGAGAAGCACUGGCCUUCAGGCACAUUGACGCUGGGAUUCUAGGAUGCAGAUGGUAGGGAUUAGAUACAACUUCCUGAGCUGGCAGUGAAAGGACUGACGUUUGGUUCCCUAUAACUUGGGGAGGGGCUGGUAAAGGUAAGACACAAGAGAACUAAGUGCCCAUACUUGAUCCCAGCUAAAUCAAUCUUCCUAGCAUUCCACCCAGAAAGGAUUUUGACAACUUUAUUAAAUGAAACUGGGAAGUGAAGAUUAGGCUCAGUGGAGCCAGAUUGGAAUCCAGACAACAUGGCUUAAGGAAAAAGAGGAAACACGAAAGGUGACAUAAAGGGCAAAAGAAUGAAAUGGAGCCUGAAGACAUUUACAGGCAAGAUUAACAAAAAUUGAGCCUGAGUUCUGCAAUUCACAGUCCUAAAACUAUUUUUUAUUUAUCCUGCUCAGUACUCAAAGUAUACUUUUGAUAUGGAAUAAAUCUUUUCUCAAUUCUGGAAAAUUUUUAGCUAUCUUUGUUUAGAAUAUUGCUUUUUCAAAAUUUUCUUCAUUCUCUUGUUCUGAAACUCGUACUAGAAAUAUGUUAGCAUUGCUGAUCUUUCUUACAUGCCCCUUCACUGGCUCUGUCAUGUUUUUUAUCUCUAGGUUUUAGAUGAAAUCAAUAGUACUAGCUGGUUAAUUCACUCAUCAGUUCCUCGAUUAUGCCUAGUAAAGAACUUUUUUCUGGCCAGGCGUGGUGGCAUACACCUACUUGAGAGACUGAGGCAGGAGGAUCACUU
rnacentral:lncRNA from 1 species